GACGAACGCUGGCGGCGUGCUUAACACAUGCAAGUCGAACGGAAAGGCCCUGCUUUUGUGGGGUGCUCGAGUGGCGAACGGGUGAGUAACACGUGAGUAACCUGCCCUUGACUUUGGGAUAACUUCAGGAAACUGGGGCUAAUACCGGAUAGGAGCUCCUGCUGCAUGGUGGGGGUUGGAAAGUUUCGGCGGUUGGGGAUGGACUCGCGGCUUAUCAGCUUGUUGGUGGGGUAGUGGCUUACCAAGGCUUUGACGGGUAGCCGGCCUGAGAGGGUGACCGGCCACAUUGGGACUGAGAUACGGCCCAGACUCCUACGGGGGGCAGCAGUGGGGAAUAUUGCACAAUGGGCGGAAGCCUGAUGCAGCAACGCCGCGUGCGGGAUGACGGCCUUCGGGUUGUAAACCGCUUUCGCCUGUGACGAAGCGUGAUUGACGUUAAUAGGUAAAGAAGCACCGGCUAACUACGUG
rnacentral:rRNA from 1 species